CAGAUACCAGACUAAUCAGCACCAUGGGUGCAGCCGUCCUGCUGCACCUGUGAUGUCGGAGCAUCUAUUUCUACACUCAGUGCUCAGAAUGGUGAGCAGGACGAUUGGUUUGUACCCAGACAUUG
ensembl:snoRNA